UACGAAGGGGGCUAGCGUUGUUCGGAUUUACUGGGCGUAAAGCGCACGUAGGCGGCUUCUUAAGUCGGUGGUGAAAUCCUGGAGCUCAACUCCAGAACUGCCUUCGAUACUGGGAAGCUCGAGUCCGGGAGAGGGAUGCGGAAUUCCAGGUGUAGCGGUGAAAUGCGUAGAUAUCUGGAGGAACACCGGUGGCGAAGGCGGCAUCCUGGACCGGUAUUGACGCUGAGGCGCGAAAGCCAGGGGAGCAAACGGG
rnacentral:rRNA from 1 species